GGGUUGUGAGGUUAAGCGACUAAGCGUACACGGUGGAUGCCCUGGCAGUCAGAGGCGAUGAAGGACGUGCUAAUCUGCGAAAAGCGCCGGCGAGGUGAUAUGAACCUUUGACCCGGCGAUGUCCGAAUGGGGAAACCCAGUGUGUUCCGACACACUAUCGUUAACUGAAUACAUAGGUUAACGAGGCGAACCGGGGGAACUGAAACAUCUAAGUACCCCGAGGAAAAGAAAUCAACCGAGAUUCCCCCAGUAGCGGCGAGCGAACGGGGAGCAGCCCAGAGUCUGAAUCAGCUUGUGUGUUAGUGGAAGCGUCUGGAAAGUCGCACGGUACAGGGUGACAGUCCCGUACACGAAAGCACACAGGCUGUGAACUCGAAGAGUAGGGCGGGACACGUGGUAUCCUGUCUGAAUAUGGGGGGACCAUCCUCCAAGGCUAAAUACUCCUGACUGACCGAUAGUGAACCAGUACCGUGAGGGAAAGGCGAAAAGAACCCCGGCGAGGGGAGUGAAAAAGAACCUGAAACCGUGUACGUACAAGCAGUGGGAGCCUCUUUUAUGGGGUGACUGCGUACCUUUUGUAUAAUGGGUCAGCGACUUAUAUUCUGUAGCAAGGUUAACCGUAUAGGGGAGCCGAAGGGAAACCGAGUCUUAACUGGGCGUUAAGUUGCAGGGUAUAGACCCGAAACCCGGUGAUCUAGCCAUGGGCAGGUUGAAGGUUGGGUAACACUAACUGGAGGACCGAACCGACUAAUGUUGAAAAAUUAGCGGAUGACUUGUGGCUGGGGGUGAAAGGCCAAUCAAACCGGGAGAUAGCUGGUUCUCCCCGAAAGCUAUUUAGGUAGCGCCUCGUGAACUCAUCUUCGGGGGUAGAGCACUGUUUCGGCUAGGGGGCCAUCCCGGCUUACCAACCCGAUGCAAACUACGAAUACCGAAGAAUGUUAUCACGGGAGACACACGGCGGGUGCUAACGUCCGUCGUGAAGAGGGAAACAACCCAGACCGCCAGCUAAGGUCCCAAAGUCAUGGUUAAGUGGGAAACGAUGUGGGAAGGCACAGACAGCCAGGAUGUUGGCUUAGAAGCAGCCAUCAUUUAAAGAAAGCGUAAUAGCUCACUGGUCGAGUCGGCCUGCGCGGAAGAUGUAACGGGGCUAAACCAUGCACCGAAGCUGCGGCAGCGACGCUUAUGCGUUGUUGGGUAGGGGAGCGUUCUGUAAGCCGUUGAAGGUGUCCUGUGAGGGGUGCUGGAGGUAUCAGAAGUGCGAAUGCUGACAUAAGUAACGAUAAAGCGGGUGAAAAGCCCGCUCGCCGGAAGACCAAGGGUUCCUGUCCAACGUUAAUCGGGGCAGGGUGAGUCGACCCCUAAGGCGAGGCCGAAAGGCGUAGUCGAUGGGAAACAGGUUAAUAUUCCUGUACUUGGUGUUACUGCGAAGGGGGGACGGAGAAGGCUAUGUUAGCCGGGCGACGGUUGUCCCGGUUUAAGCAUGUAGGCGGAGGUUCCAGGUAAAUCCGGUUCCUUAUUAACGCUGAGGUGUGAUGACGAGGCACUACGGUGCUGAAGUAACAAAUGCCCUGCUUCCAGGAAAAGCCUCUAAGCAUCAGGUAACAUCAAAUCGUACCCCAAACCGACACAGGUGGUCAGGUAGAGAAUACCAAGGCGCUUGAGAGAACUCGGGUGAAGGAACUAGGCAAAAUGGUGCCGUAACUUCGGGAGAAGGCACGCUGAUAUGUAGGUGAAGCCCCUGCGGGUGGAGCUGAAAUCAGUCGAAGAUACCAGCUGGCUGCAACUGUUUAUUAAAAACACAGCACUGUGCAAACACGAAAGUGGACGUAUACGGUGUGACGCCUGCCCGGUGCCGGAAGGUUAAUUGAUGGGGUUAGCGGCAACGCGAAGCUCUUGAUCGAAGCCCCGGUAAACGGCGGCCGUAACUAUAACGGUCCUAAGGUAGCGAAAUUCCUUGUCGGGUAAGUUCCGACCUGCACGAAUGGCGUAAUGAUGGCCAGGCUGUCUCCACCCGAGACUCAGUGAAAUUGAACUCGCUGUGAAGAUGCAGUGUACCCGCGGCAAGACGGAAAGACCCCGUGAACCUUUACUAUAGCUUGACACUGAACACUGGUCCUUGAUGUGUAGGAUAGGUGGGAGGCUUUGAAGCGUGGACGCCAGUCUGCGUGGAGCCAACCUUGAAAUACCACCCUUUAAUGGCUGGUGUUCUAACGUAGACCCGU
rnacentral:rRNA from 1 species